rnacentral:rRNA from 1 species
CAAUAGCGUAUAUUAAAGUUGUUGCAGUUAAAAAGCUCGUAGUUGGAUUUCUGGCUCGGUGAGGCGGUCCCUCUCGCGAGGCGCACUGCAGCGCCGGGCCAUCCUCUCGAAGGCGGGUGGUGUCAUUAACUUGAUGUCGCACGAACUCGAGACCUUUACUUUGAAAAAAUUAGAGUGUUCAAAGCAGGCAUACGCUUGAAUACAUUAGCAUGGAAUAAUGGAAUAGGACUUUGGUUCUAUUUUGUUGGUUUCUAGGACCGAAGUAAUGAUUAAUAGGGACAGUUGGGGGCAUUAGUAUUUAAUUGUCAGAGGUGAAAUUCUUGGAUUUAUGAAAGACUAACUACUGCGAAAGCAUUUGCCAAGGAUGUUUUCAUUAA